GACGAACGCUGGCGGCGUGCUUAACACAUGCAAGUCGAACGGAAAGGCCCUGCUGUUGUGGGGUGCUCGAGUGGCGAACGGGUGAGUAACACGUGAGUAACCUGCCCUUGACUUUGGGAUAACUUCAGGAAACUGGGGCUAAUACCGGAUAGGAGCUCCUGUCGCAUGGUGGGGGUUGGAAAGUUUCGGCGGUUGGGGAUGGACUCGCGGCUUAUCAGCUUGUUGGUGGGGUAGUGGCUUACCAAGGCUUUGACGGGUAGCCGGCCUGAGAGGGUGACCGGCCACAUUGGGACUGAGAUACGGCCCAGACUCCUACGGGAGGCAGCAGUGGGGAAUAUUGCACAAUGGGCGGAAGCCUGAUGCAGCAACGCCGCGUGCGGGAUGACGGCCUUCGGGUUGUAAACCGCUUUCGCCUGUGACGAAGCGUGAGUGACGGUAAUGGGUAAAGAAGCACCGGCUAACUACGUG
rnacentral:rRNA from 1 species